GAUGAACGCUGGCGGCGUGCCUAAUACAUGCAAGUCGAGCGAAUGAUGAGGAGCUUGCUCCUCUGAUUUAGCGGCGGACGGGUGAGUAACACGUGGGUAACCUGCCUGUAAGAUGGGGAUAACUCCGGGAAAACGGGGCUAAUACCGAAUAAUAAAAGAGGAAGCAUUUCUUAUUUUUGAAAGUUGGUUUCGGCUAACACUUACAGAUGGGCCCGCGGCGCAUUAGCUAGUUGGUGAGGUAACGGCUCACCAAGGCGACGAUGCGUAGCCGACCUGAGAGGGUGAUCGGCCACACUGGGACUGAGACACGGCCCAGACUCCUACGGGAGGCAGCAGUAGGGAAUCUUCGGCAAUGGGCGAAAGCCUGACCGAGCAACGCCGCGUGAGCGAGGAAGGCCUUCGGGUCGUAAAGCUCUGUUGUCAGGGAAGAACAAGUACGAGAGUAACUGCUCGUACCUUGACGGUACCUGACCAGAAAGCCACGGCUAACUACGUGCCAGCAGCCGCAGUAA
rnacentral:rRNA from 1 species